rnacentral:lncRNA from 1 species
GCUACGUUUAACACUAUCAAACUAGAUGUAACCUUGUAUUGUAUUGACUACAAUAAAAGUCGAUACUAUUUGUGUUUUAUUCUGCGAAAGAAGUUCCCGUUCAAGUCUCAAUAGAAGCUAGAGGGAUGACCGUUUGAAUAAUAGCUCGAAUGCCAGCACGCGAUAUUUAAGUACUAAUAGACGAAAAGUAACCGGCAACUGCAUACUAACAGCCACAAACUGCGGGUGUCGCAUACAAACGACUAGCAAUCACAAUUAAAAUGGCCGCUGAGAUGAGAGUCUGGAUCAUUACCAACAGCCAGUAGGUACUACACAGCAAUGAAAUCGCUUAUGGGCAGAAAAAUUAAAAUGCAAUUUGGAUUUCGAGCAUCAUGUAAAUGAAAAUAGAAAUUGUCUCGAGCUUGGCAUGCGAUGAAUUUGUGUGAGUUUGUAUAGGUGUGUGCUGUAUCUUU